AGCGAACGUUAGCGGCGGGCCUAACACAUGCAAGUCGAACGCGAAAGGUCUUCGGACUGAGUAGAGUGGCGCACGGGUGAGUAACACGUAGGUAAUCUACCCUUUGGCGGGGGAUAACGUUCCGAAAGGAGCGCUAAUACCGCAUAAGACCACGGAGUCUCCGGACGCUGUGGGAAAAGGUGGCCUCUUCUUGAAAGCUACCACCGAAGGAUGAGCCUGCGUCCCAUCAGCUAGUUGGUAAGGUAAUGGCUUACCAAGGCGAAGACGGGUAGCUGGUUUGAGAGAAUGAUCAGCCACACUGGCACUGGAACACGGGCCAGACUCCUACGGGAGGCAGCAGUGAGGAAUAUUGGGCAAUGGGCGAAAGCCUGACCCAGCCACGCCGCGUGAGUGAUGAAGGCCUCGGGUCGUAAAGCUCUGUGGAGAGGGACGAAAACCCUGGUUUCAAAUAGGCUCCAGGCUUGACGGUACCUCUUUAGCAAGCACCGGCUAACUCUGUGCAGCAGCCGACGG
rnacentral:rRNA from 1 species